CUGGUGAGUAACGCGUGAGGAACCUGCCUUCCAGAGGGGGACAACAGUUGGAAACGACUGCUAAUACCGCAUAACGUGCAGCCGGGGCAUCCCGGAGGCACCAAAGAUUUUAUCGCUGGAAGAUGGCCUCGCGUCUGAUUAGCUAGUUGGUGGGGUAAUGGCCCACCAAGGCGACGAUCAGUAGCCGGACUGAGAGGUUGGCCGGCCACAUUGGGACUGAGAUACGGCCCAGACUCCUACGGGAGGCAGCAG
rnacentral:rRNA from 1 species